AUUUUCACACUUGUUUUGUUUUGAUUUGAGAUUCGAUCAGGAACAAGUGAAUCAUUAGGUUUUCUUUGCAAAGUAACGCCGCGUGUGAUAUUUUCCCGUUCACAGGUUGAUACAUAGAGCGUUCCGCCGAGUUCACAUUAAAACGUCGAAGGAUGGAUACCAUAAUGCUGGGUUAUAGCGCUAUGAUGGAGUCCAACGCUUCAUCGUCAAGAAGAAGGAGAAGUGAAAUUAGAAAGAAAAAUGCUAUCAUGAAUUUAUCAGAAACAGAAUUUAAAAAGAACUUUCGCUUGAACAAGGCAGCAUUUCGGUACAUUCUUCAGGAGAUCCGAGAAGAGUUUCCUUGCCAAAAACACCAUGGGCUAUCGGUAGAGGAUAAGCUUGCUGCCUGCCUACGUUUUUUUGCAGAAGGAGGCUACCAAAAUGGAACUAGCAAGGACCAUGAUGUGGCAAUAGCUCAGUCAACGUUCUCGAAGGUGCUUGACGAGAUGCUGAUUGUCCUCGAAACGAAAAUUUGUCCAAAGUGGAUAAAUUUUACGAU